rnacentral:rRNA from 1 species
AGAUUGCAGGCUGCAACUCGCCUGCAUGAAGUCGGAAUUGCUAGUAAUCGCAGAUCAGCAUGCUGCGGUGAAUACGUUCCCGGGCCUUGUACGCACCGCCCGUCACACCAUGGGAGUCGGUAACACCCGAAGUCGGUAGCCUAACCGUAAGGAGGGCGCCGCCGAAGGUGGGAUUGAUGACUGGGGUGAAGUCGUAACAAGGUAAC